rnacentral:rRNA from 1 species
CUGGUUGAUCCUGCCAGUCAAGCAAGCUAUUCUCGAAGAUUAAGCCAUGUAUGUGCCAAGUUCAAACGUAAUACGUGAGACUGCGGACGGCUCAGUAAAUCAGUGAUAAUCUGUUUGAUUUUCUCUCCCAUUGGAUAACCGUGGGAAAUCUAGAGCUAAUACGUGCGGUACAUUGGCGUCACUUUCGGGUACGUCAAAGCAUUUAUUAGACUAAACCAUCUACUACAUUUCGGUGUAGUAAGGGGAAUCUGGAUAACUUUGCUGAUCGUAUGGCCUAGCGCCGGCGACGUUUCAAUUGAGUUUCUGCCCUAUCAACUUGUUGGUAAGGUAUUGGCUUACCAAGGUUGCAACGGGUAACGGGGAAUCAGGGUUCGAUUCCGGAGAGGGAGCCUGAGAAACGGCUACCACAUCCAAGGAAGGCAACAGGCGCGCAAAUUACCCAAUCUAGACAGUAGGAGGUGGUGAAGAGAAUUACUAAGUGGUGGUCUAAUAGAUCACUUGUUUGGAAUGAACGUAACUUAAGAAAUUCGUUGAGAAACAACUGGAGGGCAAGUCCUGGUGCCAGCAGCCGCGGUAAUUCCAGCUCCAGUAGUUUGCUUUAAAGUUGUUGCGUUUAAAACGCUCGUAGUUGGAUCACGCAGCAGUGUUCAGUAAUCUAAAGCAGGAAGGCGCCAAUGGUUCGUCUCGUACGGCCAUUGCGUGAAUUCAGUGAUAGAUGUCACGCUGGAUGUUGCUAGUUGCACGUGAGAUAGAUUGUUGGCCUUCAAUGCGCCGGUAUUCUCGUCUUGCGGGGUGUGCCUUGAAUAAAACAGAGUGCUCAAAGCAGGUUAUUGCCUGAAUGUUAUAGCAUGGAACGAACAAUCGUGUAUAUGUGCGCGUCUCUAAAUCGUGAUAGGCCUUUGGUUUGCCAUUGUUUAAGAUGUGCACGGCACCCACCAAAAUAUGGCUGUUGGUUCCAUAUACGGUGAUGAUUAAAAGGAGCGGUUGGGGGCAUCAGUAUUUGGCCGCGAGAGGUGAAAUUCUUAGACCGGCCAAGGACUAACAAAUGCAAAGGCACUUGUCUAGACCGUUUCCAUUAAUCAAGAACGAAAGUGGGAGGUUCGAAGACGAUCAGAUACCGUCAUAGUUCCCACCGUAAACUAUGCCGACCUGGGAUCAGUUUAGAGAUGUUACAAGCUCUAGAUUGGUCCCCCUGGGAAACCUGAAGUUUUUCGGUUACGGGGAGAGUAUGGUCGCAAGGCUGAAACUUAAAGGAAUUGACGGAAGGGCACCACCAGGGGUGGAGCCUGCGGCUUAAUUUGACUCAACACGGGGAAACUUACCUGGUCCGGACAUCGAUAGGAUUAACAGAUCAAUAGCUCUUUUAUGAUCCGAUGAGUGGUGGUGCAUGGCCGUUCUUAGUUCGUGGAGUGAUCUGUCAGCUUAAUUGCGGUAACGAACGAGACCACAGUCUCCAUUUAAGAGAUAGAAGCAGGCGCAUGGUUGUUGAGAUUUAACCGUUUCGUCGGCUGGGCGCCGUAGGAAGAGUGGUGUGUUUUAUCGACGGGCGUGUCUGGGAGACCGGGCAUGCUUGUUGGUAGGGCGUGUUAUUUCUCCCUUCUAUCACGCAGCAGUUGGUUUCACUGGCUGUUGCCUUAUGGAGAGACAACGAGGUAUAAACAAGCUCGAGGAAGAGUGGCUAUAACAGGUCAGUGAUGCCCUUCGAUGUUCAGGGCUGCACGCGCGCUACAAUGAUAACGACAACAAGUGUCUGCGUCGAAAGACGUGGGUAAUCUAUAAUCGUUAUCGUGAUGGGGAUUGACCGUUGUAAUUAUCGGUCAUGAAAGAGGAAUCCCUAGUAUGCGCAUUUUAUUAGAAUGUGCAGAUUGAGUCCCUGCCCUUUGUACACACCGCCCGUCGCUACUACCGAGUGAAUGGUGUCAUGAUGCGCUGGGACUGGGGUUAGUUGGAUCUUCGGGUUCGGCAGACGUUGGAAUCAGCGUAAAAUGGCGCAAUUUCGAGGAAGUAAAAGUCGUAACAAGGUUUCCGUAGA